rnacentral:misc_RNA from 1 species
AAAAGACUUGUCAAUUUUUCUCUACUACCCUUCAAACAAUAAAUCACGCAAGCAAUAAAAAAGGAGUUCAAAAAAAUUGAGGCAAUAAACCAUUAUUGGCAUAAACCAUAAAAAAAAAAAAAUGGCUGGGGUAAAUGAUUCAGUGUCUAGUAGUUGAAGGGAAGAAAGUUGAUAGCUGAAAAUUUCAAUUUUCACCAUUACAAUUAUAAUUGCUUACUUUGAAAAUUUUAUCCAAAAGUUAUGUUUAUG